UUUUAUGGAGAGUUUGAUCCUGGCUCAGAGUGAACGCUGGCGGCGUGCCUAAUACAUGCAAGUCGAACGAUGAAGCUUCUAGCUUGCUAGAAUGCUGAUUAGUGGCGCACGGGUGAGUAACGCAUAGGUCAUGUGCCUCUUAGUUUGGGAUAGCCAUUGGAAACGAUGAUUAAUACCAGAUACUCCCUACGGGGGAAAGAUUUAUCGCUAAGAGAUCAGCCUAUGUCCUAUCAGCUUGUUGGUAAGGUAAUGGCUUACCAAGGCUAUGACGGGUAUCCGGCCUGAGAGGGUGAACGGACACACUGGAACUGAGACACGGUCCAGACUCCUACGGGAGGCAGCAGUAGGGAAUAUUGCUCAAUGGGGGAAACCCUGAAGCAGCAACGCCGCGUGGAGGAUGAAGGUUUUAGGAUUGUAAACUCCUUUUGUUAGAGAAGAUAAUGACGGUAUCUAACGAAUAAGCACCGGCUAACUCCGUGCCAGCAGCCGCGGUAAUACGGAGGGUGCAAGCGUUACUCGGAAUCACUGGGCGUAAAGAGCGCGUAGGCGGGAUAGUCAGUCAGGUGUGAAAUCCUAUGGCUUAACCAUAGAACUGCAUUUGAAACUACUAUUCUAGAGUGUGGGAGAGGUAGGUGGAAUUCUUGGUGUAGGGGUAAAAUCCGUAGAGAUCAAGAGGAAUACUCAUUGCGAAGGCGACCUGCUGGAACAUUACUGACGCUGAUUGCGCGAAAGCGUGGGGAGCAAACAGGAUUAGAUACCCUGGUAGUCCACGCCCUAAACGAUGGAUGCUAGUUGUUGGAGGGCUUAGUCUCUCCAGUAAUGCAGCUAACGCAUUAAGCAUCCCGCCUGGGGAGUACGGUCGCAAGAUUAAAACUCAAAGGAAUAGACGGGGACCCGCACAAGCGGUGGAGCAUGUGGUUUAAUUCGAAGAUACACGAAGAACCUUACCUAGGCUUGACAUUGAGAGAAUCCGCUAGAAAUAGUGGAGUGUCUGGCUUGCCAGACCUUGAAAACAGGUGCUGCACGGCUGUCGUCAGCUCGUGUCGUGAGAUGUUGGGUUAAGUCCCGCAACGAGCGCAACCCCCUUUCUUAGUUGCUAACAGGUCAUGCUGAGAACUCUAAGGAUACUGCCUCCGUAAGGAGGAGGAAGGUGGGGACGACGUCAAGUCAUCAUGGCCCUUACGCCUAGGGCUACACACGUGCUACAAUGGGGUGCACAAAGAGAAGCAAUACUGCGAAGUGGAGCCAAUCUUCAAAACACCUCUCAGUUCGGAUUGUAGGCUGCAACUCGCCUGCAUGAAGCUGGAAUCGCUAGUAAUCGCAAAUCAGCCAUGUUGCGGUGAAUACGUUCCCGGGUCUUGUACUCACCGCCCGUCACACCAUGGGAGUUGUGUUUGCCUUAAGUCAGGAUGCUAAACUAGCUACUGCCCACGGCACACACAGCGACUGGGGUGAAGUCGUAACAAGGUAACCGUAGGUGAACCUGCGGUUGGAUCACCUCCUUUCUAGA
rnacentral:rRNA from 1 species